AGGAUGGCUCUGCGGCUUAUCAGGUUGUAGUGAGGGUAACGUCCUCACUAGCCUAUGACGGGUACGGGCCCUGAGAGGGGAAGCCCGGAGAUGGACUCUGAGACACGAGUCCAGGCCCUACGGGGCGCAGCAGGCGCGAAAACUCCGCAAUGCUCGAAAGAGUGACGGGGGGAUUCCAAGUGCCUACGCUCAGCGUAGGCUGUUCAGAUGCCUAAAAAGCAUCUGGAGUAAGGGCUGGGUAAGACGGGUGCCAUCUGUGGCAGCAGCCGAAAAUUUGGCUUGCUACUGCAAGGCAUAAACCGCCGCGGUAAUACCCGCAGCUCGAGUGGUAGUCGAUUUUAUUGGGCCUAAAGCGUCCGUAUCCGGUCUGGUAAAUGCUUGGGUAAAUCGUCUGGCUUAACCAGAUGAAUUCCGGGUAGACUACCAGACUUGGGACCGGUUGAGGAAGAGGGUACUUCAGGGGUAGGAGUGAAAUCCUGUAAUCCUUGAAGGACCACCAGUGGCGAAGGCGCUCUUCUAGGACGGGUCCGACGGUGAGGGACGAAAGCCAGGGGAGCAAACCGGAUUAGAUACCCGGGUAGUCCUGGCCGUAAACGAUGUGGGCUUGGCAUUGGGGGUUCUACGUGAGCGCCCAGUGUCGUAG
rnacentral:rRNA from 1 species